UCAAUAAUACAUACAUACAUACAUACAUGUGUCAGGAAUUGAUGUUUCCGAUAUUAAUAUCUCGUUUGGUUCAAGUGAUGAGGUAAUUCCACUCACUCCCAGUCAACCUUCAACAUCAAGUAAAGAAAUUAGGUCAAUUGUCUCCGAACAGUCCUUAACUGCACCUUCUUUUAUUUCAUCUAUAUCUGGUCCAAGAUUUGAUAAAACAGGCACCUCUUAUUUAGACACUUAUGCUUUUACUGAAUCAAUACUUCAAGUUUCACCUAAAAAAAAAAUAUCACUUGGAGCAUUAAAAAGUCUGAAAAGAAAACAAUCUCGAGAAAGUCUCUUGGUAGAUGGAAAUUUUAAAAAAUUGAAUUUUGGGCUUGGAAAACGAAAAAUUACAAAAAGAGAAAUCUUUAAGACUUCAGCUUUUGAAAUUGGAUGUUGCUCUCAGAAAACAGCAAAUACGAAAAGAGAAAGCUUUAACCAAAAUAUUAUACGACUGCAACACAGCUAAUGAAUGAUAAAUUGCCACUUUCUAACCAACAUCACUUUAUAAAUACAGAAAUGGAAGCAAUCCUUAAGCAGUAAAUUAAAGGGAAGAAAAUAAAUUACGAAUGAAAAUAAAUUUUUGAUUAAUUUUUUUAUUUUCACAUUAAAAAAAAAUAUUAUAACUAUAA